GAUUGUACUUCUUCUCUGCAAUCGCGGCUG
rfam:Bacteroides helcogenes P 36-108, complete genome.